GAGCAUGUCAGACCACUGUGUCCCUCUAAAGCCAUAGGGAAGGACAGUGACUCAAAAACAUGCCAGAGCAACAUUCUCUGGAGUUAACAGGGCCAGUGGUCAACCAGACAUGUCCAUUUGGUAGUAACAGACUCCAACAUUU
rnacentral:snoRNA from 1 species